UUUAAUUUUAAUAAACAAAGAAAAAUUUAAACAUUAAAACACAUUAGUGCUUUUUUUUAUUACGGCCUCAAGGUAAAAACUAAAUGUGUUUUAAAAACUUAUUUGAAAGUUUUAGGUUCAAGUAGGUUGAAGAUGAAAAUUAGAAGAAUAUCCACUAAAAAAAUAUGUCUCUAGAGAGGAAUCAUUAGUGUUAAUAAGUUUCACAGUAAGAAAAAAAUUUAAAAGUGAAAUUUAUCUAAAAAACUAAAAGAGACUCUGGAUGUUCCUAAUAUAUAGCAAUUUCGGUUUCGUUAUUGCAUAAGUGUGUGUAAAAAAAAGAAAAUUCAUACGAGAGGAUAUCAAAAAGUAACAAUAAGUAUAAAGACCAUAACAAAAUUUUUGGAUUUUUUCUAGCCUGAUAUACUUAUGAACUCUGAAAAAAAGGAAAAUUUGGACGGCGAAACUUCAAGAGAUACUGAAGAAUCGUCGUCUGUUGGCGAUAAGCCCGAUCAAGUAAAUAAUAUUUAUAAUUCUGAGUCAAGCGAAACAAUACUACCAAUUGAUCAAAACACAAAAAUAAAUUGUGACUCAAAUUUAACUCAAAACGAUAAAUUAAACGUCACUGAUCCAAAUUUAUUAGGAAAUAUUAUCACUAAUAAGGACGAUUUAGAUUCUGAAACACCUUCAGAUUCUGAGCAAGGUGUUUUAACAAACGAUUUCAAAACUUUUCCUGCUACUGAACAUAGUUUAGAUUGUACACCCACCUCUGUAACAACUUCUUCAAAUAAUCAUUCAAGUAAUUGUUUAGAAGAAACAGAAGAAAUGAAACGCGCAGCAGCUAGAAAAUUAAUUGAACGUUAUUUUUAUCAACUCUUACAUGGUUGCGGAAAUUCAAAUUGUAAAAACAAAUAUUGUGCAUCUAGCGGGGAAAUAGAAGAAUUAACACCAAAUCAAGCUGCAGCUAGGGCAAUACAAUUAUUUUCUCAAGAUGCAAAAUUAUGUGAUACUACUCAAAUCCAACCUUCAAAAAUAGCUAGAACAAGUCCUUCAUCCUCUUCGAAUGUAUCAGAGAUUUUAAAUACUUCUGAUGCAGGACAAUCUAGUUCUUUUUCAAUUGAAAGUAAUAAUUCGAAUAGUUUAUUAAAUAAUCCCGAACAAAGUUCAAGAGACCUUAAUGACACUUCGUACCCAAGAUCAACUACUUCAAAUACUUAUAAAUUAAAUAAUAGAAACGAUGGAUCCACAUCAUCGUCGAAUGCGACAACGCCGUCUAGUCAUAGUAGUAGUGCCAGUGCAUCAAGUGGAACGACAAGCAGUUCUAGUGAUUUAAAUUUGUCGUCAUCUAGUCAUAAAAUUAAAAGGAAACCAGUUUCAAGUCCCACCUCUUUUUUAAUUGUCCCUAUAACAUCUCUUGAUGAAGAAAAACUUACUCAAUUAAUUGAUGAGUGUAAAAGUGUCAAAUCAUACACAAAACUAAUCAGAACAAUCGGGGAAGUUUUUAGUUCAACUCAGUUACUAUCUGGAAGUUUUCGUAAAAAGCCUAAGACAAAAAUAGAUGAAGUUCUUGAAAAGGUUUCUGCGGAUUUAAAAAGUCUAAAGAAGGAGGAUAUACGUUCACUUGAAAGUGAUCCUGAUAAAGAUGAAGAUAGUUGUGCUUCAGAGAAUGCAAUAGAAGAAGAGGAAGAAUUUAAAAUAGAUAUAGAAAGCUUGAGAAGAUCAAUGGAGAAAUUAUUUUCUCUUGAUUGUCCUAUUUAUGAAGCUCUAAAUAAUGGAUUACAUAGUUUAUCGAUAUUAUUGACAGUUGAUUUAAUGACAACAGAAAAAAAAGAUUAUAUCGAGAAUGUUAUAUAUAUAAUGGUACUCGUCUAUGAAAUAAUGGCCAUGGCACCGAGUGAAUUUUUGGAGAAUGCUUUACCUAAUAUUUGUGGUGCUGCAGCGCAUUUACCGGUUUGGGCUGAAGCGAAAUUGGCUCGAAUUUGGGCAGAACACUGCAAAUCUAGUUUAAACCGUCUUCUUCAAACUUUACAACAGUUAAUAAGCUUGCAAGUUAUUACAGGAAAUUUCGGAAGAUCACGUUAUGUUGAAAAUAGUGAAGUAAUAACUAGUGCAACAAAAGUUUUAAAGAUUCUGUACUAUGCAAACAUAUUAGCUGGAACAAUAGAUUCAACAAAGUUAUGUGAAAACGAAAAUGGUAAAGACUCUCCAACAAAUACCUUUCAAGAUGAUGAUGAUUUUAUGCUAUACACGCAUUUGAAAAAUCGUGAAAAGAAAUUAAUAGAAGAUAGUUUGGAAAAGGAGUUGGGUGUUUCAGCCAUGGAUUGUCGAAUUCCACUAAUACCAUUUGAAGAAUUUUAUAAUGAACCUUUAAGUGAAACUAUUGAAAUGGACAAUGAUUAUUUAUAUUAUAAAAAUUAUACAAUGGAUAUUAGACCAAAUAGAAAAUUUACGUUUAUGUUAUAUUCCUUUAUAUUGACACCAGCGACCAAAGUAGUUGCGCUUUAUUACGAUAGUCGUGUAAGAAUGUACAGUGAAAGAAGAUUAACGAUAUUCCAACAUAUUAGUGAUGGAAAUGGUGCUGGACCAAACCCUUACCUCAAGAUAAGGGUGCGACGCGAAAAACUAAUUGAAGAUGCUCUUUUAGAACUUGAGAUGGUUGCAAUGGCAACUCCAAAAGAUUUCAAGAAACAGUUAGUUGUAGAAUUUGCUGACGAACAAGGUAUAGACGAAGGAGGCGUAUCAAAGGAAUUUUUCCAAUUAGUUGUCGAUGAAAUUUUCAAUCCGGAUUUUGGAAUGUUUGUCCAUCAAGAAGAUACAAAGACUGUAUGGUUUAAUUCAAAUUCUUUCGAAAAUGAUGCCCAAUUUACACUUAUAGGGAUUGUUUUAGGUUUAGCUAUAUAUAAUAAUGUAAUUUUGGCUGUGAAUUUCCCAAUGGUUGUUUAUCGAAAGUUGAUGGGCGGUAGAGGCUCAUUUUAUGAUUUGGCUGACUUUAACCCAAUAAUUUUUAAAAGUUUAAAAUCUAUGUUAGAUUAUACUGAAGUUGAUAUGGAAGAUGUUUUCAUGCAAACUUUUAAAAUAAGUUAUACAGAUGUUUUUGGUAAUCUUGUUGAACACGAAUUAAAAGAAGGCGGUGCUGAUAUUUUAGUUAACCAAGAAAAUAAAUUAGAAUUUAUUGAAUUGUAUGCCGAUUAUUUAUUAAAUACUAGUAUAGACAGGCAAUUUAAGGCAUUUAAAAAAGGUUUUGAAAUGGUGACAGAUGAAUCACCAUUAAAAUUGUUAUUUAGACCAGAAGAGAUUGAAUUAUUAGUUUGCGGGAGUAGGAAAUUCGAUUUCAUAGAAUUAGAAAAGUCAACUGAAUAUGAGGGAGGCUAUACUGAAAAUUCUCAAAUAAUUAAAGAUUUUUGGAAUAUAGUGCAUGGUUUGUCGAUGGAAUCCAAACGAAAACUCUUAGAAUUCACAACAGGUUCGGACCGAGUACCAGUAGGAGGUUUAAGCAAAUUAAAAUUGGUAAUUGCAAGAAACGGGCCAGAUUGCGAUCGCUUACCUACCAGCCACACAUGCUUCAAUGUUUUACUACUACCUGAAUACGAAAAUCGAGAAAAAUUGGAAGAUCGACUUCUGAAGGCCAUUAAUUAUUCGAAAGGAUUUGGAAUGCUUUAAAAAAAAUCGUACGUUUAAGUAAUAAAUCCCCACAAACUUUGAAUGACAUUUCAUAAUUUAUUUUGAAACAAUAAACAAUAAUGCCUUACCUAUAUUUUUAUCAAGCGUUAAAGUAAUAAACGUUUUUUAUUUUAAUUAUUUCCUUGAAUGCCUUUUAUUGAAAGAUUUAAAAGCUUACAGUAAAUGGAGGCGGUGGAAUGUGCUAAUGGAGAAAGAUGCUCAUAUAAUACACAUAUAUUAUGUACCUAUGUUAAAAUUUGUAAAAACUUAUUUGCUUUUGGAAGUUUUACUCUAAAACUUAUCCAGUGCGCAUAAAAUUUAAUUUUUCUACGCAAUAAAGAUUGAAUAAAUGUAAAAGAUUGUAAUUAAGUGUAUCACUCUAUACACAAAAGAAAUAAAAACUUAGAACAGUA